rnacentral:lncRNA from 1 species
CUGCUGCCCGCGCUCUACGCGCUGGUCUUCGUGCUGGGGCUGGCGGGCAACGCGCUGGUGCUGCUGACGGUGUGGCGCGGCCCCCGAGCCAAGCGGCGCUCGGCCGACGCCUACAUCGGCAACCUGGCGCUGGCCGACCUGGCCUUCGUGGCCACGCUGCCGCUGUGGGCCGCCUACACGGCGCUGCGCUUCCACUGGCCCUUCGGCGCGGCGCUCUGCAAGCUCAGCAGCUACCUGGUGCUGCUCAACAUGUUCGCCUCCGCCUUCUGCCUGGGCGGCCUCAGCGCCGAGCGUUACCGCGCCGUGCUCCGCGCCGCCCCCCCCGACGCCCCGCGCCGCCUCCGCGCGUCUCCGCCGCCCCGCGGCUCUGGGCCCUCUGGCCGCGCUGUGGGCGGCGGCGGCGGCGGCGGCUCUGCCCGCUCUGCUGCUCCGCGAGGCGCGGAGGGACGCGCGGAACCGCACGCUGUGCGACCUGCGGCUGGGCGGGGAGGGGGGCGGCGCGGAGCGGGCGGCGACGGCGCUCAGCCUCGGCACCACCGCGCUGAGUUUCGCCGCCCCGCUGCUGCUCAUGGCCGUGUGUUACUGCUGCGUGGGGAGCGCCGUCCGCCGCCACCUGCGGCCCCGCAGAGCCGAAGCGGCGGCGAGGAGGCGGCUGCUGCGGUUGAUCGCCGCGCUGGUCGGGGUGUUCGCCGGCUGCUGGCUGCCUUUCCACCUGCUGAAGAGCCUCUUCGUGCUGGCCGCGGCCGGGCUGCUGGAGCUGCCGUGCGCGCUGCUCGGCCUCAUCUCCCGCCUGCAUCCCUACGCCACCUGCCUCGCCUACCUCAACAGCUGCCUCAACCCGCUGCUCUACGCCUUCCUCGACGGCCGCUUCCGCGCGCAGUGCCGGGCGCUGCUGGGGCUGCGCGGGGCCCGACCGCCCCCCGCCGCCUCCUCCACGCCGAGCGCUCCGACGCAGCGCUCCGAGCUGCCCUCCUCGGGGGGC